rnacentral:rRNA from 1 species
UACGAAGGGGGCUAGCGUUGCUCGGAAUUACUGGGCGUAAAGGGCGCGUAGGCGGAUCGACAAGUUGGGGGUGAAAGCCCGGGGCUCAACCUCGGAAUUGCCUUCAAAACUGUUGAUCUAGAGUACGGGAGAGGUGAGUGGAACUCCGAGUGUAGAGGUGAAAUUCGUAGAUAUUCGGAAGAACACCAGUGGCGAAGGCGACUCACUGGCCCGUUACUGACGCUGAGGCGCGAAAGCGUGGGGAGCAAACAGG